rnacentral:lncRNA from 1 species
GGAGGGAGUUGGGAGGAAAGCGGCGGCGGUGGCGGCUUCAACAGCAGCUCUUGCCCUUAAGGAACAAUGAAACACAAAGAUGGUGCAGACCCAGGCCCUGCUUUGACUGGGAGAAAGAUGCAUUCAGUUGACUAAAACUUGAACCACAGCAUGUUCCGAAGAGAUGAUUGGAAGAUGGAAGUGGAGGGUUAAAUAAUGAAAUGCAGCUAACAUUUCGGAAAGUUUCUAAAAGUUGUACAACAUGCCCUACAGCUACUCUUUAAAUCUCCAAAUCAAAUGAGUUUCAGGUGGAGCCUCUGGGAGGUGAUGAGGUCAUGAGAGUGGAGCCUCAUGAAUGGGAUGAGCACUCCUACAAAAAGGAUUCCAGAGAGCUCGCUUGCUCCUUCCACAGUGUGAGGACACAGAGGGAAGGCUCUGUCUAUGAAUGAGAAAGUGGGUCCCCACCAGACAUUGAAUCUGCCGCAUCUUGAUACUGGACUUCCAGUCUCCAGAACUGUGGGCAAUAAAUGUCUGUUGUUUAUUACCUGUCCAGUAUCUUUGGUAUUUUGCUAUAGCAACCCAAAUGGACUAAGAAAACACCAGAGGCCAUACCUAAUAAAAAUAUUGACAUCACAA